rnacentral:rRNA from 1 species
ACCAGACUCCUACGGGAGGCAGCAGUGAGGAAUAUUGGUCAAUGGCCGAAGGGCUGAACCAGCCAAGCCGCGUGAAGGAAUAAGGCCCUACGGGUCGUAAACUUCUUUAGUCAGGGAACAAAGGGUGCCACGUGUGGCGCUGUGAGUGUACCUGAAGAAUAAGCAUCGGCUAACUCCGUGCCAGCAGCCGCGGUAAUACGGAGGAUGCGAGCGUUAUCCGGAUUUAUUGGGUUUAAAGGGCGCGUAGGCGGUUUGUCAAGUCAGCGGUAAAAAUUCCGGGCUCAACCCCGUACUGCCGUUGAAACUGCAUCCCUUGAGUGCGCGAGAAGUAUGCGGAAUGCGUGGUGUAGCGGUGAAAUGCAUAGAUAUCACGCAGAACUCCGAUUGCGAAGGCAGCAUACCGGCGCGCAACUGACGCUCAUGCACGAAAGCGUGGGUAUCGAACAGGAUUAGAUACCCCUGUA